rnacentral:rRNA from 1 species
UACGUAGGGUGCAAGCGUUAAUCGGAAUUACUGGGCGUAAAGCGUGCGCAGGCGGUUUUGUAAGACAGAGGUGAAAUCCCCGGGCUCAACCUGGGAACUGCCUUUGUGACUGCAAGGCUUGAGUGCGGCAGAGGGGGAUGGAAUUCCGCGUGUAGCAGUGAAAUGCGUAGAUAUGCGGAGGAACACCGAUGGCGAAGGCAAUCCCCUGGGCCUGCACUGACACUGAGGAGCGAAAGCCAGGGGAGCAAACGGG